GGCCCGUUCGUCUAGCAGCCAGGAUCUCGGUCCUUCGAACCGAUGACGAGGGUGCGAGUCCCUCACGGGUCG
rnacentral:tRNA from 1 species